rnacentral:lncRNA from 1 species
GUGUUUCCUCAGCUGCAGUGCAAGUGGGGCAUGCUCCGUUGAGACUUUAUUCACUCUGGGCAGUUUGUUGAAGAUUAGGUGGUCAGCUCACAAUGAAUCAUAAGCUGCUUUUGUCCCUUGCUGUCUAUGCUUAGAAGCUAAAAGGUUAAGCAGCGAUGUCAGCGCUAUCAGGGAGCUGUGGAGACUGGAAUUGAAGUUCAGAACCUUUCAUGGGAGACAGCUCAGCUCCGCAGUAGCUUUGAAAACAAGCAGCCCACAAUCAUGCUGACAGCCAGAAGUCUGGCAGACACUGGGAUUGAAAUAUAAUGUUGGAUAUUC